UACGUAGGGUGCGAGCGUUGUCCGGAAUUAUUGGGCGUAAAGGGCUCGUAGGCGGUCUGUCGCGUCGAAAGUGAAAACCCAGGGCUUAACCCUGGGACUGCUUCCGAUACGGGCAGACUAGAGGUAUGCAGGGGAGAACGGAAUUCCUGGUGUAGCGGUGAAAUGCGCAGAUAUCAGGAGGAACACCGGUGGCGAAGGCGGUUCUCUGGGCAUUACCUGACGCUGAGGAGCGAAAGUGUGGGGAGCGAACAGG
rnacentral:rRNA from 1 species